GCCCUCGUAGCUCAGCUGGAUAGAGCGUAGCGUUGCGGACGCUAAGGUCGAUGGUUCGAAUCCAUUCGAGGGUG
rfam:Microgenomates (Levybacteria) bacterium GW2011_GWC1_40_19 TT87_C0016, whole genome shotgun sequence.